CCCUUUUCUACGGAAUAACGCAGGGAAACUUGUGCUAAUACCGUAUAAGCCCUUUGGGGGAAAGAUUUAUCGGGAAAGGAUGAGCCCGCGUUGGAUUAGCUAGUUGGUGGGGUAAAGGCCUACCAAGGCGACGAUCCAUAGCUGGUCUGAGAGGAUGAUCAGCCACAUUGGGACUGAGACACGGCCCAAACUCCUACGGGAGGCAGCAGUGGGGAAUAUUGGACAAUGGGCGCAAGCCUGAUCCAGCCAUGCCGCGUGAGUGAUGAAGGCCCUAGGGUUGUAAAGCUCUUUCACCGGUGAAGAUAAUGACGGUAACCGGAGAAGAAGCCCCGGCUAACUUCGUGCCAGCAGCCGCGGUAAUACGAAGGGGGCUAGCGUUGUUCGGAAUUACUGGGCGUAAAGCGCACGUAGGCGGACAUUUAAGUCAGGGGUGAAAUCCCGGGGCUCGACCCCGGAACUGCCUUUGAUACUGGGUGUCUAGAGUAUGGAAGAGGUGAGUGGA
rnacentral:rRNA from 1 species